GACGAACGCUGGCGGCGUGCUUAACACAUGCAAGUCGAACGGAAAGGCCCUGCCGUUGUGGGGUGCUCGAGUGGCGAACGGGUGAGUAACACGUGAGUAACCUGCCCUUUACGUUGGGAUAACUUCAGGCAACUGGGGAUAAUACCGGAUAGGAGCUCCUGCUGCAUUGUGGGGGAUGGAAAGUUUCGGCGGCUGGGGAUGGACUCGCGGCUUAUCAGCUUGUUGGUGGGGUAGUGUAGUACCAAGGCUUUGACGGGUAGCCGGCCUGAGAGGGUAAGCGGCCCCAUUAGGACUGGACUGCGACACAGACUCCUCCGGUACGCAACGGUGGGGUAUAGUGUACUAGGGGCGGAAGCCUGAUGCAGCAACGCCGCGUGCGGGAUGACGAGCUGCGGGUUGUAAACCGCUUUCGCCUGGGACGAGGCGAGAGUGACGGUAAUGGGUAAAGAAGCACCGGCUAACUACGUG
rnacentral:rRNA from 1 species